AUAGUUGGGGACCCAAUCUCAUACGGUUGUUAUUCCCAUGAUUUGAUUGUUUUAUAACGGUCAUUGUUGGGGUUGAUGUUAUUCAUUACAAGCGAUUCCAUUUUCAUGUAAAUGCUUGUAUUGUUAUGAGCGACUUCUUCCUCAAUAAUGACUGUAUAUAAUUAAACCAAUUUAAAAUUUCAAACCUUCAUUGUUGAGAAGAAAUUACUCUAGGG
rnacentral:lncRNA from 1 species